AAUGAACGCUGGCGGCAGGCCUAACACAUGCAAGUCGAACGGGUCCUUCGGGACUAGUGGCGGACGGGUGAGUAACGCGUGGGAACAUACCCUUUGGUACGGAAUAGCCUCGGGAAACUGAGAGUAAUACCGUAUGUGCUCGAGAGAGGAAAGAUUUAUCGCCAAAGGAUUGGCCCGCGUUGGAUUAGGUAGUUGGUGGGGUAAUGGCCUACCAAGCCGACGAUCCAUAGCUGGUUUGAGAGGAUGAUCAGCCACACUGGGACUGAGACACGGCCCAGACUCCUACGGGAGGCAGCAGUGGGGAAUCUUAGACAAUGGGGGCAACCCUGAUCUAGCCAUGCCGCGUGAGUGAUGAAGGCCUUAGGGUUGUAAAGCUCUUUCAGUGGGGAAGAUAAUGACGGUACCCGGAGAAGAAGCCCCGGCUAACUUCGUGCCAGCAGCCGCGGUAAU
rnacentral:rRNA from 1 species